rnacentral:lncRNA from 1 species
GCUCUAGCACGAGGCGUCGGUUUCUAUCUUAACGAAACGAAUCUUCAAAUACUCGUCGAACGUGGUGCAGACAACACACGAAGGUAAUACGUAAUUGUGUCCAAACUGAAGUAUCUGUCACUUGUCAUUUGCCAAAGAAAUCCGUUCAUAUAUCCCAACAUUGUAGCCAUGUGUACACGAACGUGGCUGCUCUGCAGAACGAUCACCGCCAUGACACACAAUUCCCCGUUCCCGCGGUCAAACACUCCGAAACGAACAUUUCACGAUCUCACUAACACACGCGCGACAUCCAGCGGGAUCUUUUUGGCAGCCGGCAACAGGUCGCGGUAGUCGCUAUCCCGAACUCGUGACACGCGUCGUCGUGUUAUUGUUUAUUGUUCGGUCCACGACGAAAUUGUAGCGUCGCGUCGGUAGUGUCGGGGUCUUGCCGCUACUCUAUUUCGGUCCUCUCAGGUAGGAGAGCAGAGACAAACGUAGUCUGGUUCGAACGAAUGCUUGGAGACACUAUUAACAAAGAAUAAGAACCACUCUGUAGACUGAAAGAGAGAAAAAGAGAGAAAAAGGAAUAGAGACGACGGUGUGAAACAGAGAAAGAAUGAGCGUAAAGGAGAGAAGAAACACGAGACUGAAGCCAACGGCUACCAUUAUAAAUAGUUGCGAUCCACUAGCGAUGGGAGUGAUACUCUUUCGUCCACCAGGUGGAACAACUGUACAUAGCGCCAAUUUUAUUUUGUUGAAAAAUUAUGAUAAUUGUACGAUUAUAAUAAAUAUAAAAAAUGAAAAUGAAAUAUCAAGUAUAAAGCAAGUAGCUUGAAAAAUCAAUUCUGUAGUAUAGGUGUAGUUUGUUUGAAAUUGUAUCGUUCCCAUCACUAUCGGCUGAGUAAACUAGAGUGAGAUGAACGAAAGCAAGAAAGAGAGAUAGAACACAUCAACGGAAGUAUGUACGUGAGAAGAAGAGAAACAGACAAUGGUCUCUCGUUUGCUCUACCUCUUACGUUUUGCGUCAUUGUACCGUCACUGAAGUCUGUCUUGAAUUUUAACGAACUGCGGUCCUAACAUGUAAAUUUGCAUGAUUUCCUGUCGACGAACGACGAUCGCCAAUUUUGUAGUUUCACUGAAGUAAUUGCACUGAACUAUGAUAUGAGAACUAUUGGGUCGAUAAUACAUACAUAGUAACAAAUUAGCAAAUUUAUUAAUCAAUUUCAUAAUCAACGUUAACAAAAUCAAAUGUCAAUGAGUAUAUCUUCAUUAAAAGCCAUGUUUAUGAGCAACAUAAUCCAUGUUUAUUAAACCAAGAGGACUAUUAUAAUUAUUAGUUUUCGGUUGAUUUACAAAGCGAAUACGCUUUUUCACAAAAAUAUAAAACAAACUAGCAAAUUACCUCAAAAUAGAUCUCCAAAAUGAUUCAUUUUCAGAAUGUUUUUGUAUCUUGAAUCAAUUUGUUGACACAUAGUUAAAUGUAAACAAUUUCCAAAUUAUAGAAACAAUUAUUUGAUACUUUUCUCAGCUUGAGUUCUCAUAUAAUAUAUCCAAAUAUUUCUUUUGAAGCCCGAACUUCGUGGCGUACCAAAAUUCGCACGACAACUAUCAUUACACGCAGAUUCCGUAUUGUUUAUUUUAAGGGCGUUUGUUGGCAGCACUUGAGCGUUUUAUACCUGUUUAUAAGUUUUGGCGCGAAUCCGAAGCUCCAUGACGAUUGUCGGAUACGUGUUUAUCAUAGGGUCAUAAAUCGAUUAAUAUAUUUCUGUUUUACUCAUAUGUUGAUAUGUUAUUGACAAACAAAACAACGCGCUAUCGAUAAAGUACGAGUGUCAUCAAUAAAAACAAUGUGAAUUAUCGGCAGUGUAUAUGUGCUAAUAAUUAUAUUCAUCAAAAACGCUUGUACUCGUAAUAAAGGAAUACUCGAAGAAAAGGUCAACUAAGAACGGUGAAAGAAGAUCAAGAGAAGAAAAACUGGCAUUAUGAUAAUUUUCAUGAUUAAGCCAUUAAUCUCAUCCGUAUCCGUAUUUCUCUACGAGACAGGAAGCAAGGUUAGUGGAAUGCAAGGGCGCGGACGAAAGUUUUUUGACUCCCACGAUGCACAUAUGUAAGUAGUAGGAACUUUAAAGGGGAAAUUUCUUUGCCUUCGCGAACCACACAGAUUGCACACUAUGUAUUUUGCUACAUUCUUUUUCGUAAUUUCCGAAUUUAUUGCUAAUAAAAUUUGCCAGCAAAAGUAAGAAAAAAAUCCAGUAAUAAUCAAUGUGUUAAUGUCUUGAAUAAUAAAGAGUUAAAUAAUAAAAACACUAUUGAAGUCUUGAAUUCGGAACAGUUUUUUCCAUAGGCCUCUUAAUUUACAAUCGUGAUUACAAGUGUCAGUGUGCGUAACAAAUCAAGGUCUUCUCCUGGGGUAGGAAAGUUUCCUCGCGGAAAUCGUACACGAUAAACCUCUUCUUUUUUAUUUUGAUAAUGUGUGUGCGUGUAUUUUUUGUACAAUAUAAUAAUAAUAAUUGUAGUAGUAAUAGAAGUAGUAGAGUAAUAGUAAUAGAAGUAGUAGUGGUAGAACAGCCGAGAGGUAGUAACAGCGUGUUUUAUCUCACCGGAAUUCUCACCGUUAUAGGUUAGAUUUUUUCACGGAAAAAUAUAACGUGUAGACCGUUCGUCUUUCUUUCUUGAACCGUCUUCGUACGAUUACUCCGAUGUCGCAAUAAAAGCUCAAAACAAAAAGCUACCUAUAACAACGAGAUUCUGGGAAAAUGGUUC